rnacentral:rRNA from 1 species
UUCGCCCUUAGAGUUUGAUCCUGGCUCAGGAUGAACGCUGGCGGCGUGCUUAACACAUGCAAGUCGAGCGAAGCACCAUGACUUCUUCGGAAAGAUUGGUGACUGAGCGGCGGACGGGUGAGUAACGCGUGGGUAACCUGCCUCACACAGGGGGAUAACAGUUAGAAAUGACUGCUAAUACCGCAUAACACAGCGAAAUCGCAUGAUUAAGCUGUCAAAGAUUUAUCGCUUUGAGAUGGACCCGCGUCUGAUUAGCUAGUUGGCAGGGUAACGGCCUACCAAGGCAACGAUCAGUAGCCGACCUGAGAGGGUGACCGGCCACAUUGGGACUGAGACACGGCCCAAACUCCUACGGGAGGCAGCAGUGGGGAAUAUUGCACAAUGGGCGAAAGCCUGAUGCAGCGACGCCGCGUGAAGGAUGAAGUAUUUCGGUAUGUAAACUUCUAUCAGCAGGGAAGAAAAUGACGGUACCUGACUAAGAAGCCCCGGCUAACUACGUGCCAGCAGCCGCGGUAAUACGUAGGGGGCAAGCGUUAUCCGGAUUUACUGGGUGUAAAGGGAGCGUAGACGGCGAUGCAAGUCUGAAGUGAAAGGCAUGGGCUCAACCUGUGGACUGCUUUGGAAACUGUGUUGCUAGAAUGUCGGAGAGGCAAGCGGAAUUCCUAGUGUAGCGGUGAAAUGCGUAGAUAUUAGGAGGAACACCAGUGGCGAAGGCGGCUUGCUGGACGAUAACUGACGCUGAGGCGCGAAAGCGUGGGGAGCAAACAGGAUUAGAUACCCUGGUAGUCCACGCUGUAAACGAUGAAUACUAGGUGUGGGAGGACUGACCCCUUCCGUGCCGCAGUUAACACAAUAAGUAUUCCACCUGGGGAGUACGACCGCAAGGUUGAAACUCAAAGGAAUUGACGGGGGCCCGCACAAGCAGUGGAUUAUGUGGUUUAAUUCGACGCAACGCGAAGAACCUUACCAGGACUUGACAUCCAACUAACGAAGUAGAGAUACAUUAGGUGCCCUUCGGGGAAAGUUGAGACAGGUGGUGCAUGGUUGUCGUCAGCUCGUGUCGUGAGAUGUUGGGUUAAGUCCCGCAACGAGCGCAACCCCUAUUGUUAGUUGCUACGCAAGAGCACUCUAGCGAGACUGCCGUUGACAAAACGGAGGAAGGCGGGGACGACGUCAAAUCAUCAUGCCCCUUAUGUCCUGGGCUACACACGUAAUACAAUGGCCAUUAACAAAGGGAAGCAAUACCGCGAGGUGGAGCAAAUCCCCAAAAAUGGUCUCAGUUCGGAUUGCAGGCUGCAACUCGCCUGCAUGAAGCUGGAAUUGCUAGUAAUCGUGGAUCAGCAAGCCACGGUGAAUACGUUCCCGGGCCUUGUACUCACCGCCCGUCA